UGUUAGCUUCCUUUUUUUCCCCCCUACUCAUCCUAUUUCCCCCUUGUUUUUACUCAGUAACUAUAUUAUACUCUUCAAAGGCCCAUCAUUCUUCUAUUUCCAACAGUAGAUCAAUCCAUAACCCCCCCCCAUGGGACUAACUGCUCCCCACAUUCACCUGCUUCUUAUGUCACAAAUAAAUUAGAAUUCUGAUGUGUAACAUAGAAGGAAAAAAGAGAGGGAACAAUGACCUAGACUUUUUACUUGUUUCUAUUCUAAAAAGGACAGUUGCUGGCCUUAUGCUUAAUAACAAUUCAGCCUUUCAGUAUAGCUACGCUUUGAACAUGUAGCAAUGUCUUUUGAGGAAAAAUAUACUGCUGUACUACUCUAAGAAUGUCUCCAGAAUUACUUACUCUCUGCCAACUUAAUUAUAUUGAACAUCAGAAGGCUGAGCUGGAUCGUAAGGAGAGAGAAUGGGUGUGGAGGAGCAGAAAUGAAGAAAUACAUUUACAAUAUAGCAAAGAGUUUUCAGAUGAGACACUCAAUGAUGCCGGAAUUAUGAAACAAUGAAACAUAUAAACAAGGAAGGAUCCGGAACCCAAUUAACCAGAGUUUUUUAAUGAAUGGAAAGCCAUCUGUCUUUGUGAAGGAAUUUGAUUAUAGUCUUGGCCAGAGACUAGGUAACCUAUUGAGAACCCUGAAGUCCUUUAAUUAUGUAA